AUAAUGGUGUCUUUAGACACCACCUGUAUCUUCAAAAAAAUGUGUU
rfam:Picea glauca, whole genome shotgun sequence.